AAAAAGAAAAAUGAAAGAACUAGAAACGGGAAUAACCCCCCUACCUUUCUUUUCUCUUUUCCGUUCCCUCAUCUUCUCUCCCAUUUUUUGCUCCGGCCAACCACCAUCACUGCCGGCCAAGGUUCCAGCCACCUUCCCCAGCAACCCCUCGCACUGACCGGCCGCCCUCCAGCAACUAUGGACGCCGGCAAGGACCACCAAAGCAGCAAGAAAGGAGGGAGAGGGAGACAGAUGCGUGUGCGAGGCAGCUACUUUCUAGCGUUGUCUGAGGGUUGUUUCCGGCAAGGGAGGGCUUGUUCAACUCCUGGCACAGCAAGCUUCAAGACCCAACUAGCCUCACCUCCAAUAGUGGCCGGAGAGAGACGAUCCGACGAGGAAAAGUUGAGAAAAAAUCAUGUGGGUUUUAUCGGUUUCUUAUCAUUUUCCCGGCGAUCCGACCGCCAGAUCAAAAAUCCGAGACCACCGAUGGACUCAAGAUGGUGAAAUCUUUGAGAUAGGACUGGUCUUACUCCGAUCGGACACCAUUUGAAAAAGGCAAUAAUCGGACAGUCCAGAUCGCUUGUAAUUUGGAGCAAUGUGCGUGCGUUGGCAUGCGUGUGGUAUAGUAUUGGAUAUGGACAUGACGGGUAGACACGGCUUGAGAGACACUCGCUGGGACCCGGUCCUUUAUGGAUAAGUCGGGGUAGACACGGCUUGAGAGACACUUGCUGGGACCCCGCAUUUGAUUUAUUAAGCAAAAGUCCGGCUUGAGAGACACUCACUGGCAGAGGUUGAAUUAAGAGAGCUGUAUAGGGAAUUAGCUCCCAUAAAUGUACUGUUUGAACAGUGUUGGGAGGGUGAGCGCUCCAAAUUACCUUUUUACUGUUAUGAUAUGAUUUGUAUGAAAAUUUUGAUGAUAUUGCAUUCCACUCCUUAUGAUGUAUUAGCUUUAGAUAGCUAUAGAAAUUGUAGUCAAAAUUAGUAUUUUACUCUCUGAGUCAAA